AGCGAACGCUGGCGGCAGGCCUAACACAUGCAAGUCGAACGAACUCUUCGGAGUUAGUGGCGGACGGGUGAGUAACACGUGGGAACGUGCCUUUAGGUUCGGAAUAACUCAGGGAAACUUGUGCUAAUACCGAAUGUGCCCUUCGUGGGAAAGAUUUAUCGCCUUUAGAGCGGCCCGCGUCUGAUUAGCUAGUUGGUGAGGUAAAGGCUCACCAAGGCGACGAUCAGUAGCUGGUCUGAGAGGAUGAUCAGCCACAUUGGGACUGAGACACGGCCCAAACUCCUACGGGAGGCAGCAGUGGGGAAUCUUGCGCAAUGGGCGAAAGCCUGACGCAGCCAUGCCGCGUGAAUGAUGAAGGUCUUAGGAUUGUAAAAUUCUUUCACCGGGGACGAUAAUGACGGUACCCGGAGAAGAAGCCCCGGCUAACUUCGUG
rnacentral:rRNA from 1 species